rnacentral:rRNA from 1 species
UACGUAGGGUCCGAGCGUUGUCCGGAAUUACUGGGCGUAAAGAGCUCGUAGGUGGUUUGUCGCGUUGUUCGUGAAAACUCACAGCUCAACUGUGGGCGUGCGGGCGAUACGGGCAGACUAGAGUACUGCAGGGGAGACUGGAAUUCCUGGUGUAGCGGUGGAAUGCGCAGAUAUCAGGAGGAACACCGAUGGCGAAGGCAGGUCUCUGGGCAUUAACUGACGCUGAGGAGCGAAAGCAUGGGGAGCGAACAGG